rnacentral:rRNA from 1 species
UACGAAGGGGGCUAGCGUUGCUCGGAAUCACUGGGCGUAAAGCGCACGUAGGCGGAUUGCUAAGUCAGGGGUGAAAUCCUGGAGCUCAACUCCAGAACUGCCCUUUGAUACUGGCGAUCUUCGAGUCCGGGAGAGGUGAGUGGAACUGCGAGUGUAGAGGUGAAAUUCGUAGAUAUUCGCAAGAACACCAGUGGCGAAGGCGGCUCACUGGCCCGGUACUGACGCUGAGGUGCGAAAGCGUGGGGAGCAAACAGG